rnacentral:rRNA from 1 species
AUUGAACGCUGGCGGCAUGCUUUACACAUGCAAGUCGAACGGUAACAGGCCGCAAGGUGCUGUCGAGUGGCGAACGGGGGAGUAAUGCAUCCGAACGUGCCCAGUCGUGGGGGAUAACUACUCGAAAGAGUAGCUAAUACCGCAUACGAUCUAUGGAUGAAAGCGGGGGACCGUAAGGCCUCGCGCGAUUGGAGCGGUCGAUGUCAGAUUAGGUAGUUGGUGGGGUAAAGGCUCACCAAGCCAACGAUCUGUAGCUGGUCUGAGAGGACGACCAGCCACACUGGGACUGAGACACGGCCCAGACUCCUACGGGAGGCAGCAGUGGGGAAUUUUGGACAAUGGGCGCAAGCCUGAUCCAGCAAUGCCGCGUGCAGGAAGAAGGCCUUCGGGUUGUAAACUGCUUUUGUACGGAACGAAACGGCUCUGGUUAAUACCCGGGGCUAAUGACGGUACCGUAAGAAUAAGCACCGGCUAACUACGUG